AGUUAAUGUUCACCCAGAGGACAUAAAUGAGGACUGGCUUCCACUGGGUGGUAAUGUACUGCUGAGCUGAGCAGUAGUUGUACUGGACUAUUCUUUACUGUGGCUCAGGCUGCUCAGAGCUGUUGAGUGUUGUCUGGCUGUUUUCAGCAGAGAGGAUACCCCAUUGCUGAGAGGUUGUGCAGAACUGAAACUGUUCUUGGACUGGAUCAAAUCAUUCUACUGUGAGGAGGAGAUGGAAUUCAGACAUCUCCCCAUUUGUGUGGAUCUCCCUGAGCACUGUUCUGGGAAGUAAAUGUUGCUGCCUGUACCAUGCUGCUCUGUUAAACAGAUUCCUGAUUUUCUGCUUCUGUUUAUUUGUGUUGUUUAUUUUUUUGUGUGUUUUGUUUUGUUGUUGUUUAAAUUGGUGCUAUGAAAAGUAGGAAGAUGAGCUUUCAUUGGGUUCAAAGAUUCCUGGCUUUGAAUGGCCAGACAUGUAGAUGAAGUUUCACUGGUAGUGUAGGUGUAUAGACUGCUUUGAGCCUGGCUAACAGCAGUGCUUGUUGUGGGAAUCGAUUUGUACUCCACAACAACGGGCUCCAAACCAAACUGCAGUGCUCCAAACUGCAGGAUUUGGACUGAGGUAUCUGCUGUGCCGGGCAGUUCCACUGCAAAUGCAGGAAUCAUUUAUGUUAAUGAUUAUUUUUAUUUUUUUAUUUAUUUUAUUUUAUUUUAUUUUAUUUUAUUUUAUUUUAUUUUAUUUUAUUUUAUUUUAUUGCUUCUGCUGUGGUUGCUAGCUACUGGAGGACAGUUCGUCUGAGGAUAUCUGGGAACUGGGCUGGUUUUAUGGACAGCAGCAAAAAAAGGGGUGCUGACACUUUGUGGGGGCAGUCACUGCAGACUGUUGCUCCUGCAUGAGCACCUCUAUCAUGGUUGAAGGUGGUGUGAAGGCCUAAUGCUUGAAGAAACUAUGCACAGAAGAGUCCAUUCUGAACUUGAAAUCAUACUGCAUGGGAGAGGAGGUCUGUGUAGUGGAUCCUAUGUCCCAAUAGGAAAGUUAAAAAACUGCACUUAAAUUGGACUAUUUUGCUUUCUUUGUUGCUGCCUUUCAGGUGUAUUUUCUGCUACAGAAAUGGAAGUGGAUAUAUAAAAGUAAACACCUUUAUACUUUGAUUGUUUGAUCUAGGUCAUGUAUGCAUCGCAUUCUAGCUUACUUUCUGUAUUUAAGUACCUGGGAUUAAAGCCAGGAAUUUUCUGUCAAAUAAAGUAAAUUUCUUGUAGA